rnacentral:tRNA from 1 species
GGUAAGGCAACGGGUUUUGAUCCCGUCAUUCCCAGGUUCGAAUCCUGGCGGCCCUGCCA